UACGAAGGGGGCUAGCGUUGUUCGGAUUUACUGGGCGUAAAGCGCGUGUAGGCGGGUCGUUAAGUUGGGGGUGAAAUCCCGAGGCUCAACCUCGGAACUGCCUUCAAAACUGGCGACCUGGACUCAAGUAGAGGCAAGUGGAAUUGCGAGUGUAGAGGUGAAAUUCGUAGAUAUUCGCAGGAACACCAGUGGCGAAGGCGACUUGCUGGACUUGUAGUGACGCUGAGACGCGAAAGCCAGGGGAGCAAACGGG
rnacentral:rRNA from 1 species